rnacentral:rRNA from 1 species
GAUGAACGCUGGCGGCGUGCCUAAUACAUGCAAGUCGAGCGAACAGACGAGGAGCUUGCUCCCCUGACGUUAGCGGCUGACGGGUGAGUAACACGUGGAUCACCUACCUAUAAGACUGGGAUAACUUCGUGAAACAGGAGCUAAUACCGGAUCAUAUAUUGAACCGCAUGGUUCAAUAGUGAAUGACGGCUUUGCUGUCACUUAUAGCUGGAUCCGCGCCGCAUUAGCUAGUUGGUAAGGUAACGGCUUACCAAGGCAACGAUGCGUAGCCGACCUGAGAGGGUGAUCGGCCACACUGGAACUGAGACACGGUCCAGACUCCUACGGGAGGCAGCAGUAGGGAAUAUUCCGCAAUGGGCGAAAGCCUGACGGAGCAACGCCGCGUGAGUGAUGAAGGUCUUCGGAUCGUAAAACUCUGUUAUUAGGGAAGAACAAAUGUGUAAGUAACUAUGCACGUCUUGACGGUACCUAAUCAGAAAGCCACGGCUAACUACGUG